GUUGUUCCCUUGAGGAGUGGCUUCCGGAGCUAACGCGUUAAGUCGACCGCCUGGGGAGUACGGCCGCAAGGUUAAAACUCAAAUGAAUUGACGGGGGCCCGCACAAGCGGUGGAGCAUGUGGUUUAAUUCGAUGCAACGCGAAGAACCUUACCUACUCUUGACAUCCAGCGAACUUUCCAGAGAUGGAUUGGUGCCUUCGGGAACGCUGAGACAGGUGCUGCAUGGCUGUCGUCAGCUCGUGUUGUGAAAUGUUGGGUUAAGUCCCGCAACGAGCGCAACCCUUAUCCUUUGUUGCCAGCGAUUCGGUCGGGAACUCAAAGGAGACUGCCGGUGAUAAACCGGAGGAAGGUGGGGAUGACGUCAAGUCAUCAUGGCCCUUACGAGUAGGGCUACACACGUGCUACAAUGGCGCAUACAAAGAGAAGCGACCUCGCGAGAGCAAGCGGACCUCACAAAGUGCGUCGUACACCGGAUCGGAGUCUGCAACUCGACUCCGCGAA
rnacentral:rRNA from 1 species